CUACCUCCAAGAUGGGGAUAACCUUCCGAAAGGAGGGCUAAUACCGAAUGAGACCACAGUUACUACGGUAACAGGGGUUAAAGGUGGCCUCUUCUUGAAAGCUAUCACUUGGAGAUGAGCUUACGCACCAUCAGCUAGUUGGUAAGGUAAUGGCUUACCAAGGCUAUGACGGUUAGCUGAUCUGAGAGGUUGAUCAGCCACACUGGAACUGAGACACGGUCCAG
rnacentral:rRNA from 1 species